rnacentral:rRNA from 1 species
GAUGAACGCUGGCGGCGUGCUUAACACAUGCAAGUCGGACGGGAUCCCAGGAGCUUGCUCCUGGGUGAGAGUGGCGAACGGGUGAGUAAUGCGUGACCGACCUGCCCCAUACACCGGAAUAGCUCCUGGAAACGGGUGGUAAUGCCGGAUGCUCCAGUUGACCGCAUGGUCCUCUGGGAAAGCUUUUGCGGUAUGGGAUGGGGUCGCGUCCUAUCAGCUUGAUGGCGGGGUAACGGCCCACCAUGGCUUCGACGGGUAGCCGGCCUGAGAGGGCGACCGGCCACAUUGGGACUGAGAUACGGCCCAGACUCCUACGGGAGGCAGCAGUGGGGAAUAUUGCACAAUGGGCGCAAGCCUGAUGCAGCGACGCCGCGUGCGGGAUGACGGCCUUCGGGUUGUAAACCGCUUUUGACUGGGAGCAAGCCCUUCGGGGUGAGUGUAC